rnacentral:rRNA from 1 species
AUGGAGUCAUCUACAACUGAUGCCGGUGAUAAGCAUUUGGAGAGCUACCUGACAUUGGGUUUGACAGUAUCGCAGUCAAAGAAAGGGAAUACCAAGUUUCCAAAGGUCCUGUCGCUUCUUGCCACAUAUCUGGGCAGAUCAGUUCAGAAGAAUGAAGAAUUACUAGGUUCAAAUGGAAUAAAGGAGGCAGCCACCAUCUUUCAUGGCCAGAAGGUGCCAGAUCUCAGUAUACAGCUCUAUGCAGAACGCAUCUUCAAGUAUGCUGAGUGCAGUCCAUCCUGCUUUGUGUUGGCACUUGUCUACAUGGAGAGAUAUCUACAGCAGCCAAAUGUGUACAUGACGCCCUUCAGCGUUCAUCGCUUGCUGAUUACAAGUGUGGUGGUUGCUGCCAAAUUCACAGAUGACGCGUUUUUCAACAAUGCAUUCUACGCUAGAGUGGGAGGAAUCCGCACAAUCGAGAUGAAUCGGCUUGAACUGGAUUUGUUAUUUAAUCUGGACUUCAGGCUGAAAGUGAACCUAGAGACGUUUGGGAGCUACUGCUUGCAACUGGAGAAACAUGCACCGGUGUCACCAGAGAGACUGCCGGUUCAGGUUCAUCGUGUCAAUGGAUCUAAAGAUUUGAGCUAUAGCAACAGCAGCGCCGACGAGUUUUGCCAGAGCAAGCUUGUAAGCUACAGCAGCCAGGCUCUCCAAGGAUGCAGCUGA